rnacentral:lncRNA from 1 species
CACAGCCACGGCGCCCCUUCAGCCUCGUACACACCACUGGGCCCUCCUUCUCGUUACACAGCCCAUGUGGGGGACGGGCCCCUUAAGCCUCGUACACGCCCCAUGGGCCCCUUCAGCCUCGUACACAGCCACCUGGGCCCCUUCAGCCUCGUACACAGCCACUGGGGACCUUCUCCUAGUGCCACAGCCAAUGGGCAAGCUCAGCCUCGUGCACAAGCCCACUGGGCAGCUAGCCUGUGCACAGCCACUGGGCAGCUUCACUCGUGAACAGCCACUGGCAGCUUCAGCCUCGUGCACACGCCACUGGCCUGCUUCAGCCUCGUGCACAGCACUGGCAGCUUCAAGCCUCUUUGCAAAAAAAAAAAAGCACUGGGCAGCUUAAGACUCGUGCAUCAGUCCACUGGGCAGCUUCAGCCUCGGGCACAGCCACUGGGGCACCUUAAGCAUCGUGGCACAGCCAUGGCACUUCAGCCUCGUGCACAGUCCACUGGGCACCUUCAGCCUCGUGCAAGCCACUGGGGCC